GCCGGCGCCCCGCGGUCUCUGGAGCUGCGGGUGGGGGACGAGGGCCCUCCGGCUGCGGGCAGCUCCGCCCGGUCGGUUGGUCCGCGCGUUGCUUUGUGCGUGAGUCCGGGCCGCCGGUUUCGCCCUCGCCAUGGCCCCCUGGCUGCAGCUGCUGUUGCUGCUGGGGCUGCUCCCGGACGCCGCUCCCGCCCCCAAGAAGCCCCGAGCGGCCGGCCCGCAGGCCAGGGAGCUGGCGUCCCCGGAGCUCCUGGCGCCCGCCCGCUUCGCCCUGGAGAUGUACAACCGCGGCCGGGCUGCCGGGACGAGGGCCGCGUUGAGGGCCGUGCGCGGACGCGUCCGCCGGGCGGGCCGGGGGUCGCUGUACUCCCUGAAGGCCACUCUGGUGGAGCCUCCCUGCAACGACCCUACCGUGUGCCAGCUCCCUAUAUCCAAGAAAACCCUGCUCUGCAGCUUCGAAGUCCUGGACGAGCUGGGAAAACACAUGCUGCUGAGGCGGGACUGUGGCCCAGUGGAUACCAAGGUUACAGAUGACACAAACGAGACUUUCAGUUCAUUCCUCCCACUGUUGAACAAGGAUCCCCUGCCCCAGGACUUUUCUGUGAAGAUGGCUUCGAUCUUCAAGGAAUUUGUCACCACCUAUAAUCGGACGUAUGAUACAAAGGAGGAAGCCAGGUGGCGCAUGUCCGUCUUCGCCAACAACAUGGUGCGAGCGCAGAAGAUCCAGGCCCUGGACACUGGCACAGCUCGGUACGGGGUCACCAAGUUCAGUGACCUUACAGAGGAGGAGUUCCGCACCAUCUACCUGAACCCCCUCCUGCAAGAGGAGCCCGGCCGGAAGAUGCGCCUCGCCAAGUCCGUCUCCAGCCUUCCUCCCCCCGAGUGGGACUGGAGGAAAAAGGGGGCUGUCACCAAAGUCAAGGACCAGGGCAUGUGCGGCUCCUGCUGGGCCUUUUCCGUCACGGGCAACGUGGAGGGCCAGUGGUUCCUGAAGCAGGGGACGCUGCUCUCGCUCUCGGAGCAGGAGCUCCUGGACUGCGACAAGGUGGACAAGGGCUGCAUGGGCGGCUUGCCCUCCAACGCCUACUCGGCCAUAAAGACUCUGGGAGGGCUGGAGACGGAGGACGACUACAGCUACCGGGGCCACCUGCAGACCUGCAGCUUCAACGCAGAGAAGGCCAAGGUCUACAUCAACGACUCGGUGGAGCUGAGCCAGAAUGAGCAGAAGCUGGCAGCCUGGCUGGCCGAGAAGGGCCCCAUCUCCGUUGCCAUCAACGCCUUUGGCAUGCAGUUCUACCGCCACGGGAUCUCCCACCCCCUGAGGCCCCUCUGCAGCCCUUGGCUCAUCGACCACGCUGUGCUGCUCGUGGGCUACGGCAACCGUGAGUCCCACCAACCCCUCUCUGUCCAGUUGGACCACAGCAUCUCAGGACCUCUGGAGAGGGAAAUCAGGGGAACGCCAAGGAACCUGUCCUCACCCGGCCUCGGGCUGUGGACCAGGCAGCCUCAGCCAUCCCUCCAUGGAUGGGAAAGCCAUUCCUCCAUGGUGGGAGGCUGAGCUGUUGUUGGAUAACCUGCUAGGGCAGGCGGGUGGGUGCCCUCCCCAAACUCCAGGGCUGCAGGAGGCUGGGCAGUGGGUCUGUCCAGCUUUCUGCUCUUUUCCUAGUACCUGUCACACAGUAGGCCCACAGCAGGUACUGGAAGAGGGCAGAGUGCCUGGGCUCUGACUCCCUGUGCUCCGCACUGCCCCCCAGGUUCUGCCACUCCCUUCUGGGCCAUCAAGAACAGCUGGGGCACUGACUGGGGCGAGGAGGGUUACUACUACUUGUACCGUGGGUCCGGGGCCUGUGGCGUGAACAUCAUGGCCAGUUCGGCAGUGGUGAACUGAGGCGCACGACCAGAGCAGCCCCUUCCCCUGCCUGACCUGCAUGACCAGGCCCCUCCCCAGGGGGCACAGCCGACUGAGGGACAGGCACCAGGUACCUCAGGGUGAGCAAAGGCCACUGGACUAGGGGCCCAGCCCCCCCUCCCCGAAGCUCCCCAUCUGCACCUUUGUUGAACUGUGGUAGCUAGGAGGAUCUUGGGGUGAAGGGUGAUUGUCUCGGCCACCGAAGCCGGGGCGAGAAUACUGGGCUGGGGUCAGGAGCAGGUGGGAAGAAAGUACCCUGGUCCCAAACCCAGCUGUGUCCUCAGCAGGCUCUGCCUUCCUGCCCCAGCUUUUCUCUGCUGCUAUAAAUUUUCUGGUCCCCCUGGAUUUGGGGACAGUGUUGCCUUCCACAUCUAGAGACUGUUGUAACCAACCUUUUCUAACACAAUAAAGAGGUGUCCUGGGCCCCA